GUAGAACUUGAGCUUGAAGGCGAAGAGGAGGGCCAGCGGCAUGGCGACGAAGUAGUAAGCCACCAGGUUGGUGAGCGCCGCGAGAUGCUGCCACCCACAGCCCCUCGACACGCCUGCACGCCGGUUCGUCAUUUUCCAGGAUUCAGGGAACGCUAAUCCACCAGUCACCGGUGGAAUACGAUGUGUCUGGUGGAAAGGGUGGAUCCGGCGACGACGCGUGAUCGCCGGCCGGUGGAGCUAGCCCUCACCUGACAGGACGCUCUGCAUCGUCUCGAACACGAUGGAGACGAUCAUGAGCGGCGUGAUGCCGCCGAACGCCGACACGAUCACCGCGCUCCGGCUGAAGAGGCUCGCCCACACGUCGUGCCCGAACGCCAGCAGCAGGACGAAGGCGAUGCAGAGGAGCACCGCCAGCUUCAUCGUCACCAGCACGGCGUUCUUGGCCUUGUCCACGUUCCCGGCCCCGACCUCAUUCGACACCCGGGUGCUGCAAGGUGAGAUCGAAUAGACCGGGUCACGGUGGGCACAAGGCAACAGCAGCUGAAGCUGAUAGUAAAUCAAGAGCAUGGAUGUUGCUAGUCAGAUGAAAUAUAAUCGGCAGUACCUCACAGCGGCGCUGAACCCGUACGUGGUCAUGUAGCCGAUGGCCUCGGUGCUAGUGCUGCACGCGCACAUUCCAUUGAUCAGUUUGUUUCAUUUCAUGACGAGCCAUUGCGUACCAUAACUCCUAGCAGCUAGUGAUGCAGCUUCAGCCUCGAGAUGACUUACCACAUGGCGAUCAGCGACGUGCUCACCGUGGAAUUGGGGAGCAAGCCGGCGACGAGGACCAGGAGCUCGAACGCCCAGAUCUCCAGGCUGCAACGGGACCACGACGUCGCGCACGUUAAACACGUGCUUUCCGCACACAGCAGCAACACCGGCCGGACCUUAGCCUUGAGCGGAAACACUUACCAGACCAUGACGGCGGACGGCACGGCGAGCCUCGCGGUGGGCAGCACGUACAUGAAUGCCUCGGCGGAGAACCCCGGCCACGUCUCGCGGAACGCCUCCGACCGCAGGAUGUACGCGAGCAGCAUCAGGCAGGCGACCCAGAAGGUGACCGAGAUGGCGGCGGGCGCGCCGGCGAGCCCGAAGCCGAGAACGUUCACCAUCAGGUGCGACAGCACGACGUGGAGCGCGAACGGCGCCACGGAGCAGACGACGAGCGGCACGACGACGGACUGCGUCUGCAGGUAGCGCAGCAGGCACUGGAGGAAGGCGAACGCGAAGAGGCCGGGGACCUGGGGCCGGAUGAACGCCGCCGCCUCGCGGGCCACCUCGGGGUCCUGCCGGAGGAGGAGGAGCAGAGGCUCCGUGAACAUCCAGAGCACGGAGAUGAGCGCCGACACCGCCGCCGACAGGAGCAGCGACGACUGCAGGUACAGGCCCAGCAUGCGGUGCAGCCGGGCGCCGUACGCCUGCCCGCACAGCGUCUCCAGCGCCCCGCUCAGGCCCGUCUGAAACAGUCAUUCCUCGCGUGUUAUGCCAACGUACAACGUUUUCAACAAUAUAUUUUUUUUGAAACUGAACGUUUUCAACAAUAGCCAAUAGUCGUAUCUAAACCACGUAACUGCUGAUGCACACCUCGACCAAUGUUUCCACGAUACUAGCCAGUAUGAUUGCACUUCAUAAAAUCAUUGUCAUGGCACUUCAUAAAACUGCUUACGUACAUCUCGUGGCGACCUAGCUCAAUCAAAAGGUGGGCCCGCCCGGGACUGGAUGGUACCUAGCGCCCGGUAGCCGGUAGAGCAUAUUGGCACAGGCAAUGAAGACGGAUGCCUACCAGCAGGCAGCAGGCAGCAGGCACGAAAUUGAAUUGGAAUGCUGAGCCAUUCAAUCUGGAUAGAAGGAAAUGGCUGGUCUGCAGGACUUGCCUCUACAGUUGGGUCACACGUGUGGGACCGGGCCCGCUGACAUCAAGGGCAAGCCUAACUACUGCCUAUGAUUGGUGUACGUGUAGGGUCAUGUUUAGUUUCCUCCAAACUCCCAACUUUAAUACUAUGAAAAAGAAGAUUCCCCAUCACAUCAAACUUGCGGUACAUGCAUGGAGUACUAAAUGUAGACGAAAUCAAAAACUAAUUGCACAAUUUUGUUGUACUUUGCGAGACGAAUCUUUUGAGCCUAAUUAGUCAAUAUUUGGACAAUAAUUCACAAAUACAAACGAAACGUUACAGUUGCGCAUUUAUGGUAAAAUGCCAAUUUUGACACUCCCAAAUUGGGAACUAUAGGUAGAUUUUGGGCACCGAACGGCAUGUGUGGACUGUGACUACUCACUGUUACCCUUACAGCUAGCUAGCUACAGUACUGCUGCUGAAAAAUCCGAAACCGUCAGUAUACAACCAAAAAAUAAUUCAGGUGAGAUGGGAAAUGAUCUAGCAUGCAGGAGAUGUAGGAGGGUAGCUGGUACGUACGGCCAGGGCGUAGCCGGUGACGGUGGCCCAGGAGUUGCCGAGCGUGGCGCCGGCGAGCUGGACGUCGCCGAGUUGGCCGGAGAACAUCACGGACACCAGCGGGAUGCCGUAGUACGCCAUGCUCGUCAGGAUCAUCGGCACCGCGAACUGCAGCUGCGCCCACGCCUCCUCGGUGUCCACCACGCGGCCGAGCCACGACGCGCACAGGCCGCCAGCAGCGCCCCCGCGCCACGACGGGCGACGCUCCUGGCCGCCGCCGCCGCCAUCGUCGCCGGGCUCGCGGGAGCCGAGCAGCGGGGCGAGAGACAUGUCGCCGGCCGGUCGGCCUAGAGGAACCCGGGCUCUCUAGCUGCGCUCUGCCGCCGGCGGAUUCGAUUCGCCCCUCCUCGGUUCCUGACGGCUCGUGUGUUCUUGGUUGGUGCUACUUCUUUUUUUUUUUGUAUAUAGUAUAUGAGAACUCCAGUGAUGGCUCGUGCGCCGCGCGAUGUAUAUAGGCGAACAGGCCGGGAGCAAACUAUGGCACGGCUGCCCCCGUCUUCCCGCGAGCCGCCUCCAUUUAAUAUAAAAUUUGGGAACCGUUGGCCGUCCUACCAUUCCCCGUGUGUACUGUCUCGCUCCUAGCCCCCAGCUCGCUUGCGGCGAUGACGACCGGCACGCUCGUAUUUCAGCUGGCAUGUCAUGUGGCAUCCGACUCCCACCUGCUCAUCCGCAUGUGGCAAACAGCAAACGUAGCUGACAGGCUGAUGACACCAAGUCCCGACCGAGGACCAGAGGCCAGACACACGUGAUCCACGCUUCCGAAUGAUACUCCACAGUCGCGGCCUUGCGGUGCAGGGGACCUUCAGGCCUUCAUCUUUUUGUUUUUUUUUUUAAAGGACAUUCAUCUUUCUGUCACUUAGCAGGCGAUUAGGGAAUCGAGUACCUUCAACAGCAACCGCUGGUUUCAUCCUGUCCCUUUUUGUCUCAACAGAGACCGUACCACUGGCUGUAUCUAUUUUGUCCAUUAUUAUGGGACUUGGUUAAGCCGUGGAAUCUCGCAUUUGCUAUUAUCGAUCGAAGGCUCCGUUUUGUUUUGCGUGCCUUGGAUCUGCUUGGCGCAACCCGGUGGUUCGAGGUGGAGCUCUGCCGUUUUGCUAUUAUUCGGUUUUUUUUCCCCAAUGAAUGGUUGAAAACCAAAAUGCGUUAGUCACUAUAAGGGGAGAUGUUGUAUGCUUACGUUAAACCCCAAGUAGGCCAACCCUUGCUACUCAUACCAAAGUACUUCAAUAACUUUGUGUAGGAUUAUGACUUGUUGAGCAUUUUCCAUGCUCGUAUUUGCUUAUUUCGUGGUUUUUCAAUUGAGAUGUAGAUGUUUAGUAGGAAGCAAAGGUGACGUCCACUCCCUAAUUUGCCUAUUGCAUUAUUAGCAUUUGUACGGGAAGAAAUGAAAAUGGGUGGCAACAAGUUUGGCGGUGGCUGCGGGUGCGGUGCUGCAAGUGAUGCCGUAGGGCAACCAUGGUUAAUCCAUGGGAACUUGGGAAGGGUUGGUGGUGGGGCAAAACAACUGUACUGAGUAGUGGACGGCAGGGAGGAGCUGCGGCGUUAUGUGGGCGGAGUAGUGCAGUGGUGAGGUCGUCGCUAGCUGCAAAGUGGUGGUGGAGGCCGUUGGCAGCGGGGUCUACUACUGCUACCCACGGUGUAGAAGAAUGUAUAGAUAAAUAAAGGUUUAAUUGGAUCUGUGCCACUAUAACUUUCAAGUUUUUGAGCCACACCACUACUGUUUGAGUUAUAGGAUGCAACUGUUUGAGUUAUAGGAUGCAAGACAUUACAAUUUCGAAGUUGUUUGAGAUAUGCCAUUUUCUACAUCUUUAACAUCGUUGGAUUCACAUGCAUAUCAAUGUAUUUUCGUAUGGACUAACUCUCUCACUGCACUCACUGACGCAUGGAUCCCACAACUUUCAUGAUAAUAUUCUUAGAAUACCUUCAUGGAAAAAUUUCCACUUUUUUAAGCCUUUCUGGAUAAUUUACACAUGUUUUCAACGUUCAAUCCGACAAAACUUGUUAAAAAAGUCUUAAAAAAGCAGGUUCAACUAAGUUUUGUAAAGAGAUAUCUUAGUCGGAACACACAAUCAUCCAAUUUCUUUACGAAAGCUUGUUCAAACAAAUAAGAUCAAACAUGUAGCCUAGAAAACUUAGUCAUAGAAGUUUUAAUGUAGAAAAAGACAAAGGUAAUAGGAUCUAUUUCUAGUAAGCAUGAUGGAGACAAGUACUGUGGCAAUAAAUAAAAAUAAAUACAUGAUGGAAGGAAAAAUACAAAAAAUAGAAUAGGAAAAAGGAAAAGGAAAAGGAAACAAAGAAAAAAAAAAGGAAAAGGACGGGGCAUUUUCACCUUUGGGUCCUAUGGUCUGGACAAUGCGUCACGUGCUGGUUUCCUAGCGAGCGGGUGACGACGAGAAACGAGAUUUCCCCAACGUUAACCCUUGUUCUUCAAAUUUACCGUGCGUUUAUCCGAUCAUUAUUUAGUGGCGUUUGCACAAGUUUCAGUCUUCAAGGCUGUUAGCAUGCUAGUGGAAACAAAAUUGUCGGCCAACGGUGUUCAAUAGAAGGCCGAGCUGGACAUAACAAAAAGCUCACGCGUCGUUUUACUGUCUACCUCGGGCAUGCUAUUCUCUGAUUCUCUUCCGUGAUGCGAAGACGGGGAACGGCAUCUCAGCCAUAGUCUCUUCUCGAGCAGCAAUUACAAACUCCCCGUACUAUGCGAUCCCGUAGCUGGCCUUCUCCUCCUGGAUCGCCUCCGCGAUCUUCGACCACUUGGUGCGGACGGUGAUCACCACCAGUGAGCAGGCUUGGCAUACCAGCCCGCAGAUCAGGCCAGCCCACAGACCCUGCAAGAAAGUCGAUUUCAGGGAUCGAAAGGAUUAUUCGAUUGUUACCGAAAUCAUCUCCGUUCGAGUAUGACUUAUGAGAGUUGCAGCUGGCUCGCAGAACUGAUCACUGUCAGACCGACUGUUUACCAUGGUGUUGAGCUUGAGCUUGAAGGCGAAGAAGAUCGCCAGCGGCAUGCCGAUGAAGUAGAAAGCCACCAGGUUGGUGAGCGCCGCGAGAUGCUGCCACCCGCACCCUCUCGCCACACCUGACAGGACGCCCUGCGCGGAGUCGAGCACGAUGGAGAUGAUCACGAGCGGCGCGAUGGUGGCGAACUCCGACACGAUCACCGCGCUCCCGCUAAAGAGG
rnacentral:lncRNA from 1 species